rnacentral:rRNA from 1 species
CAGCAGCCGCGGUAAUACGAAGGGGGCUAGAGUUGUUCGGAAUUACUGGGCGUAAAGGGCGCGUGGGCGGCCAUUCAAGUUAGAUGUGAAAGCCCUGGGCUCAACCUAGGAAUUGCAUUUGAUACUGUUUGGCUUGAGUUCGGGAGAGGUGAGUGGAAUUCCCAGUGUAGAGGUGAAAUUCGUAGAUAUUGGGAAGAACACCAGUGGCGAAGGCGGCUUUCUGGACUGUAACUGACGCUGAGGCUCGAAAGCCAGGGGAGCGAACGGGAUUAGAUACCCCAGUAGUCCCUGUCUCUUAUAC